rnacentral:rRNA from 1 species
GGUUAAGCGACUAAGCGUACACGGUGGAUGCCCUGGCAGUCAGAGGCGAUGAAGGACGUGCUAAUCUGCGAUAAGCGUCGGUAAGGUGAUAUGAACCGUUAUAACCGGCGAUUUCCGAAUGGGGAAACCCAGUGUGUUUCGACACACUAUCAUUAACUGAAUCCAUAGGUUAAUGAGGCGAACCGGGGGAACUGAAACAUCUAAGUACCCCGAGGAAAAGAAAUCAACCGAGAUUCCCCCAGUAGCGGCGAGCGAACGGGGAGCAGCCCAGAGCCUGAAUCAGUGUGUGUGUUAGUGGAAGCGUCUGGAAAGGCGCGCGAUACAGGGUGACAGCCCCGUACACAAAAAUGCACAUGCUGUGAGCUCGAUGAGUAGGGCGGGACACGUGGUAUCCUGUCUGAAUAUGGGGGGACCAUCCUCCAAGGCUAAAUACUCCUGACUGACCGAUAGUGAACCAGUACCGUGAGGGAAAGGCGAAAAGAACCCCGGCGAGGGGAGUGAAAAAGAACCUGAAACCGUGUACGUACAAGCAGUGGGAGCACGCUUAGGCGUGUGACUGCGUACCUUUUGUAUAAUGGGUCAGCGACUUAUAUUCUGUAGCAAGGUUAACCGAAUAGGGGAGCCGAAGGGAAACCGAGUCUUAACUGGGCGUUAAGUUGCAGGGUAUAGACCCGAAACCCGGUGAUCUAGCCAUGGGCAGGUUGAAGGUUGGGUAACACUAACUGGAGGACCGAACCGACUAAUGUUGAAAAAUUAGCGGAUGACUUGUGGCUGGGGGUGAAAGGCCAAUCAAACCGGGAGAUAGCUGGUUCUCCCCGAAAGCUAUUUAGGUAGCGCCUCGUGAAUUCAUCUCCGGGGGUAGAGCACUGUUUCGGCAAGGGGGUCAUCCCGACUUACCAACCCGAUGCAAACUGCGAAUACCGGAGAAUGUUAUCACGGGAGACACACGGCGGGUGCUAACGUCCGUCGUGAAGAGGGAAACAACCCAGACCGCCAGCUAAGGUCCCAAAGUCAUGGUUAAGUGGGAAACGAUGUGGGAAGGCCCAGACAGCCAGGAUGUUGGCUUAGAAGCAGCCAUCAUUUAAAGAAAGCGUAAUAGCUCACUGGUCGAGUCGGCCUGCGCGGAAGAUGUAACGGGGCUAAACCAUGCACCGAAGCUGCGGCAGCGACACUAUGUGUUGUUGGGUAGGGGAGCGUUCUGUAAGCCUGUGAAGGUGUGCUGUGAGGCAUGCUGGAGGUAUCAGAAGUGCGAAUGCUGACAUAAGUAACGAUAAAGCGGGUGAAAAGCCCGCUCGCCGGAAGACCAAGGGUUCCUGUCCAACGUUAAUCGGGGCAGGGUGAGUCGACCCCUAAGGCGAGGCCGAAAGGCGUAGUCGAUGGGAAACAGGUUAAUAUUCCUGUACUUGGUGUUACUGCGAAGGGGGGACGGAGAAGGCUAUGUUGGCCGGGCGACGGUUGUCCCGGUUUAAGCGUGUAGGCUGGUUUUCCAGGCAAAUCCGGAAAAUCAAGGCUGAGGCGUGAUGACGAGGCACUACGGUGCUGAAGCAACAAAUGCCCUGCUUCCAGGAAAAGCCUCUAAGCAUCAGGUAACAUCAAAUCGUACCCCAAACCGACACAGGUGGUCAGGUAGAGAAUACCAAGGCGCUUGAGAGAACUCGGGUGAAGGAACUAGGCAAAAUGGUGCCGUAACUUCGGGAGAAGGCACGCUGAUAUGUAGGUGAAGUCCCUCGCGGAUGGAGCUGAAAUCAGUCGAAGAUACCAGCUGGCUGCAACUGUUUAUUAAAAACACAGCACUGUGCAAACACGAAAGUGGACGUAUACGGUGUGACGCCUGCCCGGUGCCGGAAGGUUAAUUGAUGGGGU